rnacentral:rRNA from 1 species
GAGGUCACUGCUAUCGGUAUUCGACUAAGCCAUGCGAGUCAAAUGUUCUUCGUGAACAUGGCGAACUGCUCAGUAACACGUGGAUAACCUGCCCUAAGGUUCGGCAUAACACCGGGAAACUGGUGAUAAUUCCGAAUGAACCAGAUAUGCUGGAAUGCUUUCUGGUUAAAAGCUUCGGUGCCUUAGGAUGGAUCUGCGGCCUAUCAGGUAGUAGUGGGUGUAAUGUACCUACUAGCCGACGACGGGUACGGGUUGUGAGAGCAAGAGCCCGGAGAUGGAUUCUGAGACAUGAAUCCAGGCCCUACGGGGCGCAGCAGGCGCGAAAACUUUACAAUGCGGGAAACCGCGAUAAGGGGAUACCGAGUGCCAGCAUUUAUGUUGGCUGUCCACAUGUCUAAAUCGCAUGUGUUAGCAAGGGCCGGGCAAGACCGGUGCCAGCCGCCGCGGUAACACCGGCGGCCCGAGUGGUGGCCACUAUUAUUGGGUCUAAAGGGUCCGUAGCCGGUUUGAUCAGUCUUCCGGGAAAUCUGACAGCUCAACUGUUAGGCUUCUGGGGGAUACUGUCAGACUUGGGACCGGGAGAGGUAAGAGGUACUACAGGGGUAGGAGUGAAAUCUUGUAAUCCCUGUGGGACCACCAGUGGCGAAGGCGUCUUACCAGAACGGGUCCGACGGUGAGGGACGAAAGCUGGGGGCACGAACCGGAUUAGAUACCCGGGUAGUCCCAGCCGUAAACGAUGCUCGCUAGGUGUCUGGGACGGUGCGACCGUUUCAGGUGCCGCAGGGAAGCCGUGAAGCGAGCCACCUGGGAAGUACGGCCGCAAGGCUGAAACUUAAAGGAAUUGGCGGGGGAGCACAAGGGCGAAUUCGCCCUUUUCCGGUUGAUCCCGCCGGA